GCGUUGUCCGGAAUUAUUGGGCGUAAAGAGCUCGUAGGCGGUUUGUCGCGUCGGGAGUGAAAACCUGGGGCUUAACCCCGGGCCUGCUUCCGAUACGGGCAGACUAGAGUUCGGCAGGGGAGACUGGAAUUCCUGGUGUAGCGGUGAAAUGCGCAGAUAUCAGGAGGAACACCGGUGGCGAAGGCGGGUCUCUGGGCCGAUACUGACGCUGAGGAGCGAAAGCGUG
rnacentral:rRNA from 1 species